rnacentral:rRNA from 1 species
UACGUAGGGCGCAAGCGUUUAUCCGGAAUUAUUGGGCGUAAAGAGCUCGUAGGCGGUUUGUCACGUCGGGAGUGAAAACUCAGGGCUUAACCCUGAGCCUGCUUCCGAUACGGGCAGACUAGAGGUAUGCAGGGGAGAACGGAAUUCCUGGUGUAGCGGUGAAAUGCGCAGAUAUCAGGAGGAACACCGGUGGCGAAGGCGGUUCUCUGGGCAUUACCUGACGCUGAGGAGCGAAAGUGUGGGGAGCGAACAGG